rnacentral:rRNA from 1 species
UACGUAGGUGGCAAGCGUUAUCCGGAUUUACUGGGCGUAAAGCGUGUGCAGGCGGGGGUACAAGUGGUGUAUGAAAUUUCCCAGCUUAACUGGGAAGGGUUAUGCCAGACUGUACUUCUGGAGUGCGAGAGAGGGGCGUGGAAUUCCGGGUGUAGUGGUGAAAUGCGUAGAGAUCCGGAGGAACCCCAGAGGCGAAGGCGGCGCCCUGGCUCGCAACUGACGCUCAGACACGACAGCAUGGGGAGCGAACGGG